rnacentral:sRNA from 1 species
GCCAUACCAGUGACCUUUUCUAUUUCCUAGUAAACAAACUUCAUGAGUACUUGCCGGAGUCUAGGGAUAAGAAUGCACUUCAAAAUCAAAGCCAAAGGGUUGAUGAGCUGGUGGCAUGCAUUGAAAUUAUACAGACCCUAGUAUUGAUGUUCAGAGAAACAGAAACUGAGUCCUCACGCCUGAACACAUUGGCAGCUAAGAAUUACAGAAGCUUAUUCUGGAGUAUACAAAUACCGCUACAGCACUUUUAUAUGAGAUACUUCUUGUCUUUCAGCAGGGAAAUCUCGGAUUGGGAUCCACAAAGUUUGCUAUUAGUUGGAUAAUGUCCUUUCUACAAAGCUGUCCUCCCAUUAUUACUUUUGUGGCCAGUAUUGUGAAACAAGUGGUGAGGGGGCUUUCAGCUUCAUUUCAGCUGCUAAGUCCCUGCCAAGCAGUUCUGUUGUACCAGCAAUUUUACAUCCUCAAGAGCUGUCUGCGGCACAGCAGGACUCUAGCUGAGUAUAUUAGGAAUAACUACAGAGAAGAAUUCAGGUACUUUAUUCACAUGCCAGCCUUGCAGAAAAGGCUCCCAUUGUGUUACCCCAUCACUCAACCUACCACUCAACUUUUUCAUGAAGUUCUGAAAUUGGUUGAAUAGAAACAAUGUACACAAUGUUAAUAAGAGUAUAAAGUGUUAAUCAAGAGUCAACUUGAUAUUCAUGAGAAACAUUGUUUGAUUUGUUUAAUAUUUGGCUAUCUCUGAGUCCUAUAAACAAAGAUUUUAAUUGAAUGGUCCAUCAAUACCUCUCUAUGAGAAGUUUAAAAUUUUUAAAAAUAAAUUUGCUUUAUUAUAA